rnacentral:snRNA from 1 species
UGAUGUGAGGGUGAUCUGGCUGUGACAUCUGUCACUUCAUUGAUCUCCAAGGUUGACUACACUGAUCUGGCUGGCUAGGCAGGUGUCCCCCCCCCCCAAUUCUCCAUGUGCACCCCUCCCAAAGUUGCACACUUGGUUGAAAAGAAUGACUUUCCUUGAUAGAGGAGAGCUGGUCUCUGGCUUGGUAAUGAAUAUACAUUAGUAGCUGCACUCCCCUGCUAGAACCUCCAAACAAGCUCUCAAUAUAUAUUCACUAAGCUCUUCUACUCCUAUGAAAUCUUCUGUGUGUAUGUGGGGGGGGGGGGCAACAAUGAUGAUUAGU